AUGGCCCAGCCUCUGUUCCGGAAAACUUUCUCCCGGCUGAGGGGCAAGGAGCGCCUGGGACGCAAGGAGGCGCCGCCGCGCCAAGAACCAGAUCCUCUGUUGGAGUCACCAGCUGCUUCUGCAUCCUUUCUUGAACAUGAGCAAGUGGGGCCUUCGCUCCCACUGGAGGAGGGUGGAGGCAGCAAGAAAGGGGCCACUAUCACUGUGUCGAGGAAGCAAAACUGGGCCAAGUUCACCUGGGGUAGCCAAGAAGAUUCUCGCAGUAGGAAGCUCUGCCAGAAUUCUUUCAGCACGCCAUCGGGUCCUGCUCCCCUUAAUGAUGCAUCAUCCCCGCAGAGCCUUCUCGGUGCUGCCUCAGAGGCACCUGUUUCAAAAGAAGCUGGUGAAUCUCCCGUUAGCUGCCCAGAGAUUUCCAGUUCUAGUGUCAGCACCAAGCACAGCAGCCAAGGCGCUUAUCUGCAGAGCCUGGAAAGGAGCAGCCGGCACUGGGUGCUGUCCUCAGGGAAGACCCAGGGCCAGGAAGAGUCACUCCCUUCUGCUGGCUCUGGCACGGAGCUGAAGGAACUCAACAUGCUCUGCGGUAGUAAGGGGGAAAUCUGGUACAACCCCAUCCCAGAAGAUGAGGAUCCACAGCUCCCUUGCCUUGAUCGGAAGUGGGGCAGCAGUGUCAAGCACCAGGAUCAGAAGAGGAAGCCUAAGGACAUCAACGCUGCACAUGAGGUUGUCCACCUCGGUGUCUCACAGCAAGCAGGAAGUAGUGGUUUGAAGACUUCACCAACCCGAGUGAGACCUGUUAAGCUGGCUGAGGAGAUCAGCAUCCCCCAGCUCCAGACCUCUGGUGAGAGCUAAUUGUCCUUAAAUGGUCCUUGUAUGUUUCGUGUAGAUGUGUCGAACCCCAGUCCACUCCUAUGGCAGCCCUGAAUGAUUUUCCAUGCAGCAAAAUUGAUAAAUAUCUGGGUGGUGGGAGAAUCCUCACAACUGGUAUUGCAGUUGGUAGCCCUGAGACUACAGUGGUGCCUCGCUUAGCGAUCGCUGCAUUGAGCGACAAAAUCACUUUGCGACGGGGGUUUUGCGAUCGCUUUUGCGAUCGCUUUGCGGGGGUUUUGCGAUUGCUUUGCGAUGGUCCCUAUGGGUUUUUUUCGCUUUGCUAUGACCGCGGGGAAGCGAUCAUCGCAAAGCCCCUAUUUUCGACCAGCAGGUUUCAAAAUGACCGCCGGAAAAACAAAAGCCAGCAGGUUUCAAAAUGACCGCCGGAAAAACAAAAUGGCCACCUGCUGUUUUGCCUCGCUUAAGAGGCAGUGAAAAUAGCGGCGCUAUGGAGGAUUUUCGCUAAAGGUGAGUUUUUAAGCCCAUAGGAACGCAUUGAUUGCUUUUUAAUGCGUUUCUAUGGGUUUUUAAAAUUUCUCUUAGCGAUGAAAUUGCUUAGCAAUGUUUUCCCCCUGAACGGAUUAACGUCUCUAAGUGAGGCACCGCUGUAUUGGGAAAUGGGAGAGGUCAAAGCUCUCUGGAUGUCUGUAUCUCUGUCAUUAAUAUGGUAAUGUCAGUUUGGUUUCUGGAGUCUUGAGUUGUGAUGGCAUCCAUACAGUGUGGCUUUUUAAAAUUUCUCUUAGCGAUGAAAUUGCUUAGCAAUGUUUUCCCCCUGAACGGAUUAACGUCUCUAAGUGAGGCACCGCUGUAUUGGGAAAUGGGAGAGGUCAAAGCUCUCUGGAUGUCUGUAUCUCUGUCAUUAAUAUGGUAAUGUCAGUUUGGUUUCUGGAGUCUUGAGUUGUGAUGGCAUCCAUACAGUGUUCAUGUCAGCACUGGUGAUUCAUUUUACAUACUACAGGUAUCUGUAACGUUUUACAGUGGA
ensembl:lncRNA